CGAGCUCGCCAGACAGUCGCCGCCGGUUUUCCGGGGGAGGAAAGUCCGGGCUCCACAGGGCAAGGUGCCAGGUAACGCCUGGGCGGCGCGAGCCGACGGAAAGUGCAACAGAAAGUAUACCGCCUAAGCGCCCUCGGGCGCCGGUAAGGGUGAAACGGUGCGGUAAGAGCGCACCGCGUGGCUGGCAACAGUCCACGGCGAUGGUAAACCCCACCUGGAGCAAGACCAAAUAGGAAUCCAAUGGCGUGGCCCGCGCUGGAUUCGGGUAGGUUGCUUGAGGCCUGUGGUGACGCAGGCCCUAGAUGAAUGACUGUCCACGACAGAACCCGGCUUAUCGGCGAGCUCGCUUU
rnacentral:RNase_P_RNA from 1 species